rnacentral:rRNA from 1 species
CGGGGGUCGAACCUCGGUGCCGCAGCUAACGCAUUAAGUAUUCCGCCUGGGGAGUACGCACGCAAGUGUGAAACUCAAAGGAAUUGACGGGGACCCGCACAAGCAGCGGAGCAUGUGGUUUAAUUCGAAGCAACGCGAAGAACCUUACCAGGUCUUGACAUCCUAUUGACUGUUUCUUAAUCGAGAUUUCCCUUCGGGGCAAUAGAGACAGGUGGUGCAUGGUUGUCGUCAGCUCGUGUCGUGAGAUGUUGGGUUAAGUCCCGCAACGAGCGCAACCCUUACUUUUAGUUGCCAUCAGGUUAAGCUGGGCACUCUAAAGGGACUGCCGUGGACAACACGGAGGAAGGUGGGGAUGACGUCAAAUCAUCAUGCCCCUUAUGAUCUGGGCUACACACGUGCUACAAUGGUCGGUACAACGGGCAGCGAAAGGGUGACCUGGAGCGAAUCCUAAAAAGCCGAUCUCAGUUCGGAUUGCAGGCUGCAACUCGCCUGCAUGAAGUUGGAGUUGCUAGUAAUCGUGGAUCAGAAUGUCGCGGUGAAUGCGUUCCCGGGUCUUGUACACACCGCCCGUCACACCAUGGAAGUUGGGGGCGCCCGAAGUCUGUGAUCCAACCCCUAGUGGGAGGAAGCAGCCGAAGGUGAAAUCAAUGACUAGGGUGAAGUCGUAACAAGGUAGCCG